rnacentral:rRNA from 1 species
GACGAACGCUGGCGGCGUGCCUAAUACAUGCAAGUAGAACGCUGAAGGAGGAGCUUGCUUCUCUGGAUGAGUUGCGAACGGGUGAGUAACGCGUAGGUAACCUGCCUGGUAGCGGGGGAUAACUAUUGGAAACGAUAGCUAAUACCGCAUAAGAGUAGAUGUUGCAUGACAUUUGCUUAAAAGGUGCAAUUGCAUCACUACCAGAUGGACCUGCGUUGUAUUAGCUAGUUGGUGGGGUAACGGCUCACCAAGGCGACGAUACAUAGCCGACCUGAGAGGGUGAUCGGCCACACUGGGACUGAGACACGGCCCAGACUCCUACGGGAGGCAGCAGUAGGGAAUCUUCGGCAAUGGACGGAAGUCUGACCGAGCAACGCCGCGUGAGUGAAGAAGGUGUUCGGAUCGUAAAGCUCUGUUGUAAGAGAAGAACGAGUGUGAGAGUGGAAAGUUCACACUGUGACGGUAUCUUACCAGAAAGGGACGGCUAACUACGUG